UCUUCUUCACGCUUAGGUCUCAAGUUAUUGGGAGUAUUCUAGGAAUUUUGACUAGGAGUAUUUGGGUGAGCUAAAUAGCUAAGAUUUGGAUGUUUUAGAGUAGUUAAGGACAUGUGAAUAGCAUGAGCACAAGUGGUGGGGUCUUGAAGGUGACUCUUGAAACUAGGAGACUUACUCUUAGUAUUGGAGCUUAUCACGGACUUUUAUU